CUAUUUUACUUGUGCUGUGAAAUUGAGGAAGGAUUAACGAAAAAUGAGUCAAUCAAAAAUAACCAUAACACCGGAUGGGGCGAUUGCCUCAUCCGCUGAGAACAUCGGAGAACCGUAUGCUGAACUGAAGUACAUGCUGUCCAAAAUGCAGAUCCAACAGGAGGUGAUGGCGAAGCAGUUGGAGGGAAUCGCAUCCAGUCCGAUCCUCCAAAACUCGUGCGAAUACCAGCAGCUGAAGUCGCUGGCAACGUGCCUUCCGCUGUUUGAGUAUCCUUCGGAGACUUUCGAUGAGUGGUAUUUCAAGUACGGUGAGAUGUUCAAAGAAGACACAGCGCCGUUAAACGAUCAUGCAAAGGUGCGGCUGCUGCUCUCAAGAUUAGGAGAAUCGGAGUAUCAAAAAUACACCAAAAGUAUUGCGCCUUUACGAGUGCAGGAGGCAUCAUUCUGCCAGACUAUCGCUAAACUCAUGUCGUUGUUUGCGAAAACAAAAUCACGCACCACUCGGCGACUGCAGUGCUUCCAGCUGCAGAGAGAGGAAAACGAGGAAUUUAUCAGCUAUGGACAGAGGGUAGAUAAAGCAUUUUGUGCCGGUGAAAUGGGAGAGAUAAGCCCGGAAGAGUUCAAGUGUGUGAUUUUCGUGUCAGGAUUGAAGAGCCCAGAGGAAGCCGAACUACGGGAGUGGUUAAUCAAACAGAUGGAUAAGCGAUGGUAUGAGCCUCUUAAGUUUUGUGACUUGCUGGUGCUGUGCGACCAGUUUAAGGACAAUAAUCCCAAAAAAGGUUCGGUUAAACCUACCAUGAAAACCGAAUCGGACCAGUCGAAAGUGUGGCGCACUGUUCAUCUGGACUUUUUCCAUACUGACAAGAUACAUGUCGUUGUUUUGUUUGAUGCGUACUCUCAUUGGCCGGAAGUGUAUGUGUUCCGCGAUAGCAAAGCAGCUACAAUCGUCGAAUGCAUGCGAACGGUGUUUUCACGAUUUGGCCCACCGGAAACGCUGCUCUUAUCGUGUAAUCCACAUUUAACUCAAGUUAAAAGCAAAUUGUUCCUCUCAUACUGCAUUGAUAAUCAGAUAUUGCACUUAAGACCAACGGGCCAUUACAUGUCUUUGCAUGAAGUUUAUUUGAAGUUUAAAGAAGAAUUGAAAUUGGUCCUUGAGGAUCGCACAGAGACCUGGACCGAAGUUAUAAGAUCGUUUUUGACAGUAUAUAGAACUACAUCGUUCCCUGGAGCACCUGACCAAAAAAACCCCGCCGAGAUAAUGUUGGACCGUCGUUUGCGGGAUAAAGAGGAUGCACCUCCGGAAUAUCUUGUUAGCGUGUUUGGUACUGGAUAUCCAUUUUAAAUUAUUUUUCCAAUCGAUGUUACUCUUCCAUAUAUAAAAUUCUGAUGUAUUAAAAGUGCCAUACUUUACAUACAUAUUACAAUGACGUAAAAAUAAGAAUGAAUUAUUACAAUGAAAUAAAAAUUUCAUAUUUUGCUAUUGUAAUCCAACUCGUCUAUAAUGCAACUUUGUAGGUAAGCGUUAACGCUGAAUGCACCAACACAAAAUAGAAACACGAGAAGAAAAGGGGUACACAAAACAAAAUGUAAAAAAUCCCAGAAUUCAGUUUGUGUUUCUACUUGCGCCGUCUCGCUUUGGCGCGUUUCGAUUCUGUCGAAUCAGCGCAUGAAAUCGACUAUCCUUUUUUAGCCCUUUAAGAGGUGAUGGCGUUGACGAAUUCAAAGAAAGACAUUAUUUUGACUGGGCUGCUGUUAUUGGUAGAGAUAUCAUUCUAGGGUGGUCUCUUUGUUCUUUUCCAGAUUAAGCUAAUUCUCUUGUUCGGUGAUACAAAGUGUUGCAGUUAGAAACGAUGUUCAAUAAGUAUAAAAACUGGGAAAGUGGUUUUGCUGCGAUUGGGGAGUUUGAAAUAAACAGUGAAGUAAAAAUGCCGCAACCAUGCGCCGGAUCCGGCCAUAGAAAUGUGCCAGCACCAUCGUACGCUGAACUGCAGGAAAAACUAUCUAAAAUGCAGAUUCAGCAGCAAGCGAUGGAGAAACAACUGAAGGAAUACGCGAAACUUCCGAUCGUACAAAGUUCGGUCGAAUACCAGCAGCUGAAAUCUCUGGCUUCGUUCAUCCCGUUGUUUCAAUACCGCGAGCCUUCGGAGACUUUCGAUGCGUGGUAUUUUAGGUACGGUGAGAUCUUCAAACAAGAGACGACCUCAUUAAACGAUCGGGCAAAGGCGCAACUACUGCUGACGAGGCUGGGGGAAUCGGAGUAUCAAAAAUAUGUAAAAAGCAUCGAGCCCCAUCAUGUGACUGAUCUACCAUUCCGCGACACGAUCGCUAAACUCAUGUCGCUGUUCGCCAAAACCAAAUCACGUACCACUCGACGAUUGCAGUUUCUUCAACUGGAGAAAAGAGACAACGAAGAUUUGGCUAGCUAUGGCCAAAGGGUAGCUUAUGCAUUUUGUGCCGCCGAGAUGGAUGCGGUCGAUCCAGAUACGAUGAAAUGCCUGAUGUUUAUCUCUGGACUACAGUCGUCGGCAAACCAAUCCGAUCUGCGCAAACGAUUGAUCGAGAAACUGGACAGAGCCAUCACUCCUCUUACCCUGAAGGAUAUGAAGGUUGUUCCUAAAGUGUUGGAAAAGAAACCGAAGAGGCCAGCACAUGGUGCACCAUGGGAAACUGUCCAUGUUGGGUUCUUGAAAGAGUUGGACAAAUGUUUCGUCGUGAUGCUGGAUGAAUAUUCGCAAUGGCCAGAGAUAAUUCCAACGUACGAUUUUUCGGCACGAUCGUGUAUUGAAUGCAUCGAUGAUGUUUUCAUAAUGCGUGGCUUGCCGCAAACUAUCGUUACCAAUGAAUCAAGCCAAUUUCGUAGCGGGCAGUUUAAGUCGUUCUGUUACGAGAACGAAAUCAACCAUUGCACUUACUCGGAUUAUGAUGCAUUUUACUAUCAAUUCAUAGAUUAUUUUAAAGGAUUCGUUUCGGUGAAUUCAAUUGAGUCGGAUUAUGAUGAUGCUAGUUAUAUUGUGGAUAGCUUUCUUGCGCAUUUUAGAUCCAUGCCACUAGGUACCGCUCCCGGAGCUCCAACGCCCAAUGAAUUGAUGUUUUGAUGUCCUAAAGCGUUAUGCUUAUGAGGAUACCUAUGGCUGAUGGUAAUUUUUUUCAUUCAACACGUUUUGGACGCCAAAUCGAUUACAAAAACUUCUUUAAAUCAUAAACCUUUUUUCUUAAUACAUUUAAAGGGUGGGUAAUUCGAAUGUUCAACUCUGAAUUUUUUUUUUGAUGGACUAUAAUAAAGAACUUCCGAAUCACACAUAA